rnacentral:rRNA from 1 species
AGACCCGAAACCCGGUGAUCUAGCCAUGGGCAGGUUGAAGGUUGGGUAACACUAACUGGAGGACCGAACCGACUAAUGUUGAAAAAUUAGCGGAUGACUUGUGGCUGGGGGUGAAAGGCCAAUCAAACCGGGAGAUAGCUGGUUCUCCCCGAAAGCUAUUUAGGUAGCGCCUCGUGAAUUCAUCUCCGGGGGUAGAGCACUGUUUCGGCAAGGGGGUCAUCCCGACUUACCAACCCGAUGCAAACUGCGAAUACCGGAGAAUGUUAUCACGGGAGACACACGGCGGGUGCUAACGUCCGUCGUGAAGAGGGAAACAACCCAGACCGCCAGCUAAGGUCCCAAAGUCAUGGUUAAGUGGGAAACGAUGUGGGAAGGCCCAGACAGCCAGGAUGUUGGCUUAGAAGCAGCCAUCAUUUAAAGAAAGCGUAAUAGCUCACUGGUCGAGUCGGCCUGCGCGGAAGAUGUAACGGGGCUAAACAAUGCACCGAAGCUGCGGCAGCGACACUGUGUGUUGUUGGGUAGGGGAGCGUUCUGUAAGCCUGUGAAGGUGUACUGU